ACAAUUAAGGUUGUAGGUAAAAGGACCCUUAGGAUAUCAAGGAAAAUAAGUCGUUUUCUCCAAGUUAGACCACCAACUUAUGCCUUCCUUUCUUUUAUAGGAAUGAUGCAAGGAAGACCUUCUGUAGAACGUACCGAAAGACCGGAGACCUAAGAUCAUCCAACCAUGGCCAAGUUUACCAAACUCUUCCAAGCUAUCCAAGGAUUGACCGCAGCCAUAUUAGAAUCAAGCCAACCCUUAUCACACCCUGCCUUAGAGUAUCGAACAACUGAGAGGUCCAUCUCUCAUAAUAUAGCAAAGUUUUAGGAAACUUAACCCACCACACUUUGAAGGUGGCC
rnacentral:lncRNA from 1 species